UUAAAUGUUAGUGGAUAAACCUCCCAUAUUAUUACAUCGAUGUAUGUUCAUCCUCUGCGCGAAUUUAAUACGGUUAAACGCAGCAGAAAC